GCCUAUGGCCAUACCACUCUGAACGCAACACCUGAUCUCAUCUGAACUCAUAAGCUAAGCAGGCUCGGGCCUGAUUAGUACUUGGAUGGGAGACCACCUGGGAAUACCAUGUGCUGUAGGCU